rnacentral:rRNA from 1 species
CAGCCGCCGCGGUAAUACAGAGGGUGCGAGCGUUAAUCGGAUUUACUGGGCGUAAAGCGUGCGUAGGCGGCUUUUUAAGUCGGAUGUGAAAUCCCUGAGCUUAACUUAGGAAUUGCAUUCGAUACUGGGAAGCUAGAGUAUGGGAGAGGAUGGUAGAAUUCCAGGUGUAGCGGUGAAAUGCGUAGAGAUCUGGAGGAAUACCGAUGGCGAAGGCAGCCGUCUGGCCUAAUACUGACGCUGAGGUACGAAAGCAUGGGGAGCAAACAGGAUUAGAUACCCGUGUAGUCCCUGUCUCUUAUAC